AAGGGCUGUACGCGGCUCUGUCCUCGGGCGAGUUGGCGGAGGCUGGAGUAUUUAUCACCCUUGUCGUUUGCGCACUUGUUGUUUCCUAGGCGGGCUCGCCCGCCACCAGGACCACAUUAUAACCCUUUUUUAUGCAGUUGCAAUCAGCGUCAGUACAACCAAUGUAAAUCAUUUACAACUUUCAACAACGGAUCUCUUGGUUCUGGCAUCGAUGAAGAACGCAGCGAAAUGCGAUACGUAGUGUGAAUUGCAGAAUUCAGUGAAUCAUCGAAUCUUUGAACGCACAUUGCGCCCUUUGGUACUCCAAAGGGCAUGCCUGUUCGAGCGUCAUUUGUACCCUCAAGCUUUGCUUGGUGUUGGGCGUUUUGUCUUUGGUUGUCCAAAGACUCGCCUUAAAACGAUUGGCAGCCGGCCUACUGGUUUCGCAGCGCAGCACAUUUUUGCGCUUGCAAUCAGCAAAAGAGGACGGCACUCCAUCAAGACACCUUCUCACGUUUGACCUCGGAUCAGGUAGGGAUACCCGCUGAACUU
rnacentral:rRNA from 1 species